UACAGAGGUCCCGAGCGUUAUGCGGAAUCACUGGGCUUAAAGCGUGUGUAGGCGGAUGCCUAAGUACCUUGUGAAAUCCCACGGCUCAACCGUGGAACUGCUCGGUAUACUGGGUGUCUUGAGCCAGAUAGGGGCGACCGGAACAGACGGUGGAGCGGUGAAAUGCGUAGAUAUCGUCUGGAACGCCAAUGGUGAAAACAGGUCGCUGGGUCUGUGCUGACGCUGAGACACGAAAGCCAGGGGAGCAAACGGG
rnacentral:rRNA from 1 species